rnacentral:rRNA from 1 species
UACGUAGGGUGCAAGCGUUGUCCGGGAAUUUAUUGGGCGUAAAGAGCUCGUAGGCGGUCUGUCGCGCGGCUGUGAAAACUCGGGGCUCAACUCCGAGCUUGCAGUCGAUACGGGCAAACUAGAGUGUGGUAGGGGAGACUGGAAUUCCUGGUGUAGCGGUGAAAAUGCGCAGAUAUCAGGAGGAACACCGGCGGCGAAGGCGGGUCUCUGGGCCAUAACUGACGCUGAGGAGCGAAAAGCGUGGGGGAGCGAAACAGGG